rnacentral:lncRNA from 1 species
GUAUUUAGGGAAAUGCAAAGGAGUAUAUGAUUUUUAAUAUGAGAUCACAAAAAUUGGUACUGAAUAAGAAGUCAGAGUGAUAGAGUCCUGAUUGUAAUUAGUAGCACAUUAAUGCAAUUUCUGUUUCCAGCCUGGGAAAAGAUGUCGGCUUUCUUUAUUUAAAUGAAUGUAGCCUAGCAUUGCUUGUGGUUUUGCUAUGAUCUAUUUGUUCUACACACUAACUCCAUUCAUGGUGGUGAUACCCUCCUUCCUACUUCAUAGCUGGAGAAGCACUAUUGAGCCUUGCCUGGUGUUCCAAAAUGGUCUGGGAUGAACACAGAGCUGUCAUCUGGGUUGAGGGAUUGGACUGUGUUGUUAUAAUAACCAGCAACCCAUCAGAGCCCAUACAAGACUGGAGGGGUGGAGCAAGCAAUUGGUUUCCCAGCAUAAGCACUCCUUCUCGUGUUUCCCUCCUCUUGAUCCAUCAGCAACAAGAAGGAAGCCCAUUUCUCUCUCUCUCUUUUUAAAUAUUUUAUUUAUUUAUUCAUGAGAGACAGAGAGAAAGAGAGAGAGAAAGAGAGAGAGAGAGAGAGAGAGGCAGAGACAUAGGCAGUGGGAGAAGUGGACUCCUCGCAGGGAGCCCAAUGUGGGACCCCAUCCCUGACCCCAGGAGUGCGCCCUGAGCCUAAGGCAGAUACUCAACCACUGAGCCACCCAGGCAUCCCAUCCAUUUCUCUUUUAAAGAUGAGAAUCUAUUAUAUUCUACACCUUUCUUUUUUACAUUGUGUUCCUUUCAAGCAAAUAUCACCUCAUAUGAGUGAUCUGCCCUUUUCCCUAUGCCCAAAAAGCCCUUGGGAGUGGUCAUAUUAAUGGAAGUAGAUGGUAAUGGAAAUAGGAGCCAUACAAUGGCUCUGUUCUAGACACCAUGGUGGGUAGAGCUGAUUCAAACUGAGAACAAGUCAAAGAUUAAUUAUUGGACACUUUUUGAAGACAUGACAUUGUCCAGGUGUCUGUGGAAAUAUGGACAAUAGGGUUAACAGAGAUUACUUUUGACAGUGGGGUUGGGAGAAAGGAGUACAAAUUACAGAAUAUUGGUCAAAGGAGAAUAUGGAAUGUGUGUGAAGGAUUCUUUGCCUCAUUGAUGUAGGUAAAUCCAGAGGCAGUGCGGUCUUUCCUUGUAGGCCAGGGGUCCACAAAUUCAGAUGCCAAACCAACCAGGCAGACACCAUAAAUAUGUGAAUCUAGCCAGGUGUAAGGCAGCUGGGAAUGAUAGAACUGGUGAUAAACUGAGGGCAUGCCCCACCAAAAGUCUUUCUAUAUCAUAAUAAAAGUUCAGAGUCAAACAAUUCAAGUCAUUGCCUGCAAAUCUUCUCUGCCAUCCAAGGGUCUCCCUGUGACACUAAGUUUAGACCCAAAUACCUCUUCCACCCCAGAGAGAGACCCAAGCUUUCUUCUAAUGACACAAUCACAUCUGCGUAACUAACAGAUUCUUCUGGAGUUGACUCUCCAGAACUGUGAUAGAGGUAGGCCUCAAAGACAAAUAUACUUUUGCUCUCUGGAAGAUCAGAUUCUUUAAAAGUCAGUUUCAUUAGCCUCCACAGGGCAUUCUAUCACGUGUGGGCCACGAAACCAGCAGUGAAAAAGCUAGCAGAACUGGCUGUGUCUGUCAUUGCUCCAGGGAUGUUUCUGGAAUUUAAGGGCUGCUGCAGGCAGAUGAGAAAGAGGAAUGCCACUGUUUCACAUGUUGGACUCCUGAGUAAGAUCUUGUCUGAAAAAAGAAAGACCUUUGAAUAUUUUUACCAUGCAGAUGAGCAAACUCCAUCCACCUCUUCAGAGAAGGAUGUAGCUGUGAUACCCUGUCUUGGUGUUCCUUCCGAUGUUCCUGUGAUGGAAAACUCUUCUGCUCUCCUUUGCUCACUACAGUCAACUCAGAACACUUCACUCCUGGUCACCAUAUAUGUAGGCAUUUUUCCCACACCAAACAACUCUCUAAUUCUUGGCAGAGACUGACUGAAUGACUCACAAAUUUAAAUCAAUUCUGACCCAAAGGUGAAGGGUCCAGUCCCACAAGACUGCUUUCACUUCAGAUGGCAAUCUCAAGGGCAGGCUGUCACCUGUACUUCUGACUGGCCAGCUAUGAAUGAGGGUUCCUUUGACCUCCUCCUCAAGUUUGAUAAUUUGCAAUAAUUUAGGGAAACAUUACUUAUUUUUUUAAAAGAUUUUUAUCUAUUUAUUCAUAGAGACACACAGAGAGAGGCAGAGGAAGAAGCAGGCUCUAUGCAGGGAGCCCGACGUGGGACUCGAUCCUGGGUCUCCAGGAUCACACUCCAGGCUGCAGGUGGCACUAAACCACUGUGCCACCAGGGCUGCCCUGUUUACUGGUUU